UGACUACAGGGAUCCAAAUCGCCAGUUCAGCAGCCAGAGGUCUACAGUUCAGGACGAUUAUCUUGACCUGUCUCCACCACAGCAAAAUGAUUAUCUGAAGAGUGUGAUGGGGGGAUCUGCAAGAGGUUCUCUGCUGGAGUCAGAGAGUGCAUUCAUUGGUAAGACCACCAUGAAAUCAAGAUGUGCAACUCUUUUCUUUUG